rnacentral:rRNA from 1 species
AUUGAACGCUGGCGGCAGGCCUAACACAUGCAAGUCGAGCGGAUGAAGAGAGCUUGCUCUCUGAUUUAGCGGCGGACGGGUGAGUAAUGCCUAGGAAUCUGCCUGGUAGUGGGGGAUAACGUUCCGAAAGGAACGCUAAUACCGCAUACGUCCUACGGGAGAAAGCAGGGGACCUUCGGGCCUUGCGCUAUCAGAUGAGCCUAGGUCGGAUUAGCUAGUUGGUGAGGUAAUGGCUCACCAAGGCGACGAUCCGUAACUGGUCUGAGAGGAUGAUCAGUCACACUGGAACUGAGACACGGUCCAGACUCCUACGGGAGGCAGCAGUGGGGAGUAUUGGACAAUGGGCGAAAGCCUGAUCCAGCCAUGCCGCGUGUGUGAAGAAGGUCUUCGGAUUGUAAAGCACUUUAAGUUGGGAGGAAGGGUUGUAGAUUAAUACUCUGCAAUUUUGACGUUACCAACAGAAUAAGCACCGGCUAACUUCGUGCCAGCCGCCGCUGUAACAC